GACGAACGCUGGCGGCGUGCUUAACACAUGCAAGUCGAACGGAAAGGCCCUGCUUUUGUGGGGUGCUCGAGUGGCGAACGGGUGAGUAACACGUGAGUAACCUGCCCUUGACUUUGGGAUAACUUCAGGAAACUGGGGCUAAUACCGGAUAGGAGCUCCUGCUGCAUGGUGGGGGUUGGAAAGUUUCGGCGGUUGGGGAUGGACUCGCGGCUUAUCAGCUUGUUGGUGGGGUAGUGGCUUACCAAGGCUUUGACGGGUAGCCGGCCUGAGAGGGUGACCGGCAACAUUGGGACUGAGAUACGGCCCAGACUCCUACGGGAGGAAGCAGUGGGGAAUAUUGCACAAUGGGCGGAAGCCUGAUGCAGCAACGCCGCGUGCGGGAUGACGGCCUUCGGGUUGUAAACCGCUUUCGCCUGUGACGAAGCGUGAGUGACGGUAAUGGGUAAAGAAGCACAGGCUAACUACGUG
rnacentral:rRNA from 1 species